GGGUCAGUAGGUUGGUCGUGCCACCGGUACGUACUGGUCUCACUGAUUCCCCCUUCCUGAAGAACCGUAACGCCAUUAAUUUGGUGUUGCGGGGAAACAGGACUGUUACUUUGAAAAAAUUAGAGUGCUUAAAGCAAGCUAACGCUUGAAUACAUUAGCAUGGAAUAAUGAAAUAGGACGAUCGAUCCUAUUUUGUUGGUUUCUAGGAUUGACGUA
rnacentral:rRNA from 1 species